UAGGGAAUCUUCCGCAAUGGGCGAAAGCCUGACGGAGCAACGCCGCGUGAGUGAUGAAGGUCUUCGGAUCGUAAAACUCUGUUAUUAGGGAAGAACAAAUGUGUAAGUAACUAUGCACGUCUUGACGGUACCUAAUCAGAAAGCCACGGCUAACUACGUGCCAGCAGCCGCGGUAAUACGUAGGUGGCAAGCGUUAUCCGGAAUUAUUGGGCGUAAAGCGCGCGUAGGCGGUUUUUUAAGUCUGAUGUGAAAGCCCACGGCUCAACCGUGGGAGGUCAUUGGAAACUGGAAAACUUGAGUGCAGAAGAGGAAAGUGGAAUUCCAUGUGUAGCGGUGAAAUGCGCAGAGAUAUGGAGGAACACCAGUGGCGAAGGCGACUUUCUGGUCUGUAACUGACGCUGAUGUGCGAAAGCGUGGGGAUCAAACAGG
rnacentral:rRNA from 1 species